rnacentral:rRNA from 1 species
UACGUAGGGGGGCAAGCGUUUGUCCGGAUUUAUUGGGCGUAAAGAGCGUGUAGGCGGCCAAGCAGGUCCGCUGUGAAAACUCGAGGCUCAACCUCGAGACGUCGGUGGAAACCGUUUGGCUAGAGUGCGGUAGGGGAGAUUGGAAUUCCUGGUGUAGCGGUGGAAUGCGCAGAUAUCAGGAGGAACACCGAUGGCGAAGGCAGAUCUCUGGGCCGUAACUGACGCUGAGGAGCGAAAGCAUGGGGAGCGAACAGG